GACGAACGCUGGCGGCGUGCUUAACACAUGCAAGUCGAACGGAAAGGCCCUGCUUUUGUGGGUUUCUCGAGUGCCGAACGGGUGAGUAACACGUGAGUAACCUGCCCUUGACUUUGGGAUAACUUCAGGAAACUGGGGCUAAUACCGGAUAGGAGCUCCUGCUGCAUGGUGGGGGUUGGAAAGUUUCGGCUGUAGGGGAUGGACUCGCGGCUUAUCAGCUUGUUGGUGGGGUAGUGGCUUACCAAGGCUUUGACGGGUAGCCGGCCUGAGAGGGUGACCGGCCACAUUGGGACUGAGAUACGGCGCAGACUCCUACGGGAGGCAGCAGUGGGGAAUAUUGCACAGUGGGCGGAAGCCUGAUGCAGCAACGCCGCGUGCGGGAUGACGGCCUUCGGGUUGUAAACCGCUUUCGCCUGUGACGAAGCGUGAGUGACGGUAAUGGGUAAAGAAGCACCGGCUAACUACGUG
rnacentral:rRNA from 1 species